rnacentral:rRNA from 1 species
UACGGGGGGGGCAAGCGUUGUUCGGAAUUACUGGGCGUAAAGGGCUCGUAGGUGGCCAACUAAGUCAGACGUGAAAUCCCUCAGCUUAACUGGGGAACUGCGUCUGAUACUGGAUGGCUUGAGUUUGGGAGAGGGAUGCGGAAUUCCCAGUGUAGAGGUGAAAUUCGUAGAUAUUGGGAAGAACACCGAUGGCGAAGGCAGCCAUCUGGACCGACACUGACGCUGAGGCGCGAAAGCGUGGGGAGCAAACAGG